rfam:Trichomonas vaginalis G3, whole genome shotgun sequence.
GGGUGAAUGGUAUAAUGGUUAGUAUUGUUGAUUGUGGCUCAAUAGAUCCGUGUUCGAUUCACGGUUCACCCA